CCCAUCCUCUGGGUCUCCCAGGGACUCCUCACCUCCAGGAUGUGCCUGGUCCUGCUGACAGCACCUCCCUGCCGAACCUGGAUCCACUAGCUCCAGGUCACGGUCAAGCUGGACCUGCCCCAUGAGCCUUGGCAAUGGUCUGUGGAUCUCAGUCAGCCUGAAAUGAAGUUUGCAUGGAGGGCUGGCCAGCAAGUGUCUGCUCCUGCCCUUGGCUCUCCCCAGUGUCAUCCCAGCACUGUUUGCUGACUCUCUAAGCUAAUCACUUCUGGGAAAGCUCACGCCUCCCUGGCUCUUGAUAAGGGGCAAGGAGAGUAAUCAAGACAGGAGGCUGUCACGAUAGCUAGCACCCAAGUGGACUCACAGAAGCUGCCAAGAGAAUGACCUUCCUUAACUCGUGGACAGAGGUCACCAAGAUUCUUCCCGACUGAGAUGUGUUGCUCUUGCAGACCAAGAUGUUUAUUAGUUCUACUAAUUCAAUAAAUACAUUCCUUAUCUACCAAGAGAACAGGAUAUACCAAGCUUGCGUUACCACAUGCAGAAUCUCUUACAAGCCUCAGAAGGCUUCUCCUGUCUGUGAAAGGCCAAGCAUGUGGUUGUCUCUGUGAAGAAGGCUCUGAAUGUUGCUGAUCCUGGGAUAAUCAGCCAGGAAGGCCGAAGCUCCCGGAGCAGACAAGGUGACUCAGGGCUGGCAGCCACAGCAUCUCCACAGCAGAAUCUUGGUCUCUGGGCAGAAGAUGCUGCAGCAAGCUGCUGGACUGAGCUGCUUCCUGCCCCCUCAGACCUAAUGAGAAGAGACAGGCCUACCAGUGUCUGCUGGAUGGGGGUAGGAGUGUCUGUGCGGACCAUGUGGAUCCUUCCCUGGGCAGGCUGACAGCCCCGCAGGUCUUUUAACACUGGAGGGGAAAUUCCCUGCCUCUUGCGGGGAUGGAGCAUACUGCAGUACCGUCACCAGGCUCCUCACCAACUCUGCUGAGUUCAGAGCUGAGCCUUCCCCCAAGUCAGAGCACGGAGAGUUGAGGAGCAAGAGUGAGGCCUUCAGGAGAGGUAAAAGGUCAGGGCUUGUCCUGCAAGGGAGAGGGCACAGGGAGCAGAUGUAUGUAAGAGAUGAUAAGAGCCACUCAGCCUUCUCCUGCACCCCAUACUGGAUGCAGUGUGAUGUAGAUUAGUGGUUGAAAUACGUAUAGAGUGCUCCCACCGCUGUUCUGAGUGCUUGCCUGAGACUCCUGGCAUAAAAGACACACUAACAAGAGAAAAAGAAACAGAAGUUUAUUGGCCUGCAUACACAAGUCUACAUGGGAGAGACCUAGAGAAAAAUGAAUAACUCUAGGAGGUGGCUUGGAACUCAAGCUUAAAUGCCAUCUUCAGCUAAAGACAAAAGAGAGCAAGGUGUCAGGGAGGCCAGUUCUGGGGUGAUGACCAGGAAAAGCACAGCAAACAAGGAUAAAAUUUGUAACACGGAUUUAAGCUGGUGCCUUCAUCACUAGUGAGAUUCUACAGUUGUCUCUGUGGAUUAACCUUUGUUCUUCCUGGUCCAGAGAGAAGGAGGGACACAUUUGUACGUUUAUGUCCUGCUUUUAGGCAAACAAGGGAGGGUAGAGAGUUUUUCUUGUAUCUGCUUCUUUGCGGUUGCCUUCAGCUCAAAAUAAUCCUUAUGCCCAAGAAGUGUUCUCUGGGAGUGGCAUAUUCUGUUUGGAGACAUCUAUUUGGAAAUGUGUCUGAAAUCUGGCAAACCUUGGUUCAAAUUCUAGCUCCACUUCUUAUAGGGUUCGGCUGUCAUCCCUAAUACAGAAAGUGUCACCUGUGCAUGAUAUGAAGUGUUGAGAUCGUCAGGUGUGUGGACCACAGCCUCUGGCUGCUAGACUGAUCCUAGUUCCUGACCAGUGAGUAAAGUCUGCCUCCCCAUCUCUGAUGAUCUGCACCCUGGGACCUCACUUCAGCUGCUAGAAAAGGAUAUGGGUAAUGGUUUAGAAUGUGGACCCUAAAGUCAGUUACCUCCUAGCUCAAGGACUGGCAGGCUACAGCCUGUGGGCCAUAUCUGUCUCACUGCCUGGUUUUGUAAAUCAAGUUUUAUUGGGACAUAUAGUGGUGGUUCAGAGGGUGAAGAAUCUGUCCGCAAUGCGAGAGAUCCAGGUUCGAUCCCUGGGUUGGGAAGAUCCCCUGGAGAAUGGAAUGACUACCCACUCCAGUCUUCUUACCUCGAGAAUCUCAUGGACAGAGGAGCCUGGAGAGCCUCAGUCCAUGGGAUUGCAUAGAGUUGGACAGGGCUGAACAACUGACCCUACUGGGACUCAGCCACAUCCAUUUAUUAACAUAUUGCUUACGGCUGCUUUCGCUUUACAAAUGCAGAGUUGCGGACUUAACAAUGGAGACCACAUGGCUUGCAAAGCUAAAUACUUAUAUACUAUCUGGGUUGUUAUGAGAAAAGGCAAAUAUCUUAACCUCUCGUGCCUCACUUUGCAAUUAUUAAUUGGAAGUGGUAAUGAUACCUUCUUCUUGGUAUCUUCCCCCUAUUAAAAUGGAGUUGUGAUUACUGUUUGAUAUAUCAUGCUGCUUAGGCUAUGAAUAUUAUUAUUACAUAAGUAUUAUUAUUACACAAACUGCAGCCAAACUCCAUGGACUCAGAGCCACGUGCUCUCAGCUGGAGGUGUAGCUAGGGCCCAAGGCCAGAGCACACAGCCUUGAUGGGGGGCUUUAGCCUCUCUGAGCCCACAGCAUCUUCCAGCCUGAGAAGACCUUCUCUGGCUCCUUCUGGCUUGCAUAGAUAGGCCUGGUGUCCCUCUAGUUUUCAUUUCCAGGCUGCCCCAGACCUGGAUGUCACACCUGCCCCUGUCCACACCAUUUCACUUGACUACUAUUUAUUGACAACCUAUAUGUGUGCAGAGACUCUUAAGCAGGGCAUUCACACAUCUAGAGAUAAACAUGACACCAUCCCUGCCUUCAAAUUUAUCCCCUCCUUCCAUUCCUUAUAUAACAGGGCACCUGGUAGCUCGGACCUUACCAUUUUUGAAGUAGAAAAAAUUUUUUUAAAAAUAAUGCAGUGUCUGUCUUUUAGGGUGGAGCCUGUCCCUUUAUUCUUGGCCAGACCUCUUGAGUGGGUCCUUGUGGUUAUGCAAAUGAGAAGCAAGUGCUCUCCUUGAUACUUGGAGAAGACCUAAAUGCGAUGUUAGGUGUACUGCUUAGUAAUGUAAAUCAGGAGGGUAUUUUAGCAGAGCCAUGCCUCUGCAAAUUAUGUUUCCUUUAGAGAAAUCUUUCCUUUCUAAUUCUGGAUCCAGACUGGCCCGAGCAGCCUAUAAAUUGUCGCCUUUGUACCAAGAUGGUGAGAGUUUUCUUUGAGCCCUUGAUGGAAGGGAAGGAGGGACUGGGGAAGUGGGGAGCACAGAGGGGUGUGGAGCUGAACCUCCGGGCACUGCAGGGGACAGACUGGGGAAAGGUCUGGACUGGCCUCAGCCAGCACAGCCUGGCUCCACCAGUCUGGACCCAGACUUUGGGAAAUGUGCCAUAAGAUUCUCGAGGGGUUGUCUUAUUGGGGACCUGGUGCUAGACCCCUGUGGGUGGGUGGGGUCAGUUUCAGUGGGGACCCCGUUGUCCAGCAUUUGGGGAUAGGAUUUGAGGACUUGGGAGGCAGAUCUGUGCUUGGAGGGGAAGAAUUGCCCAGCGUCUAAGCAGGGAACCAGUCCAGGAAGAGGUUUUGAGGUCAGGUUUGGGGCUAGCUUUUCCAAGGAUGACCACUUCUAGGAGUAGUUCUAAAUUGUGCCUUAUGCUGUACUUCGUUUUCUUUAGUCCGAAAUCUUCAAUAAUCCUCCCUAAAGUUCUAGCUUGUUCUCAGCACUAAUAUAACUAAUAUAGGGAUUAGCAAACUUGGGAAAGAGAUGACACAGGUUCAGAAGAGCAGCCACAUCCUGAGCCAGGGCAUCAGAGGUGGCCAUCUGCGGGCAUCAGGCGGGUCACCUGGGCUCAGCAGCCUCCUGACCUCACCUGCGGCCAUGGCAGCAGCUCCUUCCAGAACACCCUGUGCUGUACCUGGGGAGACUCUCAGAAGGAGCUGGAGGACUGGUUGAGGGGUCCAUUUCCAGCAGUGAGGGAGAUGUUAUCCCAGACAAGGCAGAAAUGGCAGCCUGUCUCCCUUCACUUUUUUGCCUGCUAAACCAAACCACUGGAAAUGGUCUGUGCUUCCUUUUUCCCUGGCACAUUUCACUGUCACCUUUCCCCUGGUUGACAUGCAGGAUCUAAAUACCUUUAAUACCUAUUUGGCCUAUUGAUGUUAGACAUGACAGAGAGCCCUUGUGAUAAAUAAAACCACCUGUGACAGAUUGUCUGGAGCAGCCAGACUCUUCAGCACAUGUGAAUAGGCGCUAAAGGUCAGGUGCCAAGAGUUCACAAGGCAGAGGGAGGAGGGGACCUCUCAGGACAAGCAUCCCUGGAAUACAGGCUGCGGUUGUGAUGGCCGGUGGCCCUCUUGCUAAUUGCCAUGGUGGUGAGAGGGGGUUGAAACGAAGGUGGCCGUGCAGAGUUGCAACAGGAGAGAGGGGCUUUCUCUGUCUUACUGAAGCAUCUUCUGAGUGUCCUGCUUUUUGAGCUUGACAGGUAACACUUUUUAAAAGAUAGUUUUAUUUAUUUAUUUAUGUUCGACUGUCCUGGGUCUUUGUUGCUGCAUGGGCUUUCCCCUAUUUGCGGCAAGUGGGGACUGUUCUCUCGUUGCAGCGCUUGGGUUUCUCAUUGCAGUGGCUUCUUUUGUUAGGAAACACAAGCUCUAGGCACACAGGCUUCAGCAGUUUGGGCACGUGGGCUCUCGAGCACAGGCUCAGUAGUUGUGGUGCACAGGUUAUUUGCUCCACGGCAUGCGGGAAUCUUCCUGGACCAGGGAUUGAAGCUAUGUCUCCAGCAUUGGCAGGUGGAUCCCUUACCACUGAGCACUGGGGAAACCCCAACUUAUUUCCUAGUUCCUAUCAUUCAGUAAAAUCUCUGGGGCUUCUAUGAGUUAGAUGUCCUGACUCUGUCUGCUGGUGCUGGUAUCAGGAUGGUUCUCCAUGGGGGAAAUGGGAGCUGGGGGCUGGAACUAGCUGUGUGUAGCAAGGCAGCAGAUUACAAGCAAGUUCUGUCUGAGAGGACCCACAUAAGAAAUGAUAGCAGAGGGAAGAGCGAGAAGAAAUUGUAAGGAGGAAAACAUUUAGUGUAUGAAUCAAUCUCCUUGCAUACCUUUGGGGCCCUGAAGUCACAGUCUCCUUUGCAAAGGGACCGUAUGGAUUAAGCAGCACUUUAUUUGGAAAACUCAGGCCAACAGCUUGCUUUUGAAUGGCUUGGAGCCAGAUGCCUGUUGGUGUAUUAGUGUAAUAUCUGCCAGGUCCUACCUAUAGGUGAUUUGCAUGGGUGGUCCCUGCCCCUGGGUAGAGGGCUUGGUGCUCUUUCCAUGACUCUAUUUAAGAAGGUCCUCAAAGCAUAAAAGGAGGACAGGACAAAUGGGCUGUAAGUCAUGUGGUUUGGAGAGAGCCUAGUGACCUACAGUAGUGGCUCUCUCUUUCUUCCCCCGUUUUCCUUACUUCAUAAACACCUAGUUACAAGCUGUACAAAUCAAAAAAUAAUAUUAAUGAAGGGAGAGGAGGAUGUAGGGAAGAUGUUUAUGAUGUGUCUAUGGGGUCGCAUAGAGUCGGACACGACUGAAGCGAGUUAGCAGCAGUAGCAGUAGCAGCAGCAGCAGCAGCAACAGCAGGGAGCACAAAGGGAGGAAGGGGUGGGAACCAGCCCUCUCCCUCCACACACAGUCCCAGACGAGGGCUAUGACCCCUGCAGCAGGGGAUCUGAGGGGGAGCUGGGUAGAGAUCCAGGGUAGCUGAGGGAUGGAAGAGACCUCUAAACCCAGAGCUCACCCCAAAACCCUUCAGUGCAUGGCAGAGGGAGAACGGGGCAAGUGAGAAGGUUCCAAGAUGGAGCAGCAACAUGAAAAAUCAAGGUAGAGAAUACAGGAGAAGUGGAGUCAACAUGGAAAGGAGGCUGAAGAAGGGAGAAGUUGGCAAAGGGGAGUGGAAGAUGGAGGCAGUGAGCCCUGUGCCUUGGAGCUGGAAUGCCUGUGAUUUCAGGAGAAGGAAGCUGGGCAGAGCCCACAGAGAGACUGACAGGUCUCCUCUGCCCCCAAAGCGGAGGAGCGAUGUUCUGGACUGCUGUGGGGCUGAGGUCGUUUUUCUGGAUAUAAUGCAGACAAAGAUCCGGAACCUAUGACUUUUCCUUUAGGAAUUGAGUUUUCCAGGGGAGGACAUUUAAUAAGUUUCACUCAGGAAGUCUCUGUUACCAAUAAAGACUUAACAAAGUUAAUUAGACUAAACAGCAAUUAUUGUGUCUCCUCAUUGUUCAAUUAUCUGCUGAACUGGUGUUUCCUGAUUAAUUUUCUGAUUAAAAUGUAUUCAACUAAAAAGACUUGCAAACAGGCCUUGACAGGUUCCCAAAGAAGGAGGGAUGCUGCAGCUGGCUGUGCAGGGCAGUGGGCACCGG
ensembl:lncRNA